rnacentral:hammerhead_ribozyme from 1 species
AUCCAGUAGACGAGUCCCAAAUAAAACAAAAUGAGCGUCCUGGAU